rnacentral:rRNA from 1 species
GAGGAUGAUCAGCCACACUGGAACUGAGACACGGUCCAGACUCCUACGGGAGGCAGCAGUGAGGAAUUUUGCGCAAUGGGGGAAACCCUGACGCAGCAACGCCGCGUGAGUGAUGAAGGCUUUCGGGUCGUAAAACUCUGUCAAGUGGGAAGAAACUACUUUUUGCCAAUACCAUUGAGUACUGACGGUACCACUGAAGGAAGCACCGGCUAACUCCGUGCCAGCAGCCGCGGUAAUACGGGGGGUGCAAGCGUUAUUCGGAAUCAUUGGGCGUAAAGAGCGCGUAGGCGGUCCCUUAAGUCAGAUGUGAAAGCCCAGGGCUCAACCUUGGAAGUGCAUUUGAUACUAUGGGUCUUGAGUAUGGGAGAGGGAAGUGGAAUUCCUGGUGUAGAGGUGAAAUUCGUAGAUAUCAGGAGGAACACCGGUGGCGAAGGCGACUUCCUGGACCAAUACUGACGCUGAGGCGCGAAAGCGUGGGUAGCAAACAGGAUUAGAUACCCUGGUAGUCCACGCAGUAAACGAUGAACACUAGGUGUAGCGGGUAUUGACCCCUGCUGUGCCGCAGUUAACGCUUUAAGUGUUCCGCCUGGGGAGUACGGCCGCAAGGCUAGAACUCAAAGGAAUUGACGGGGGCCCGCACAGGCGGUGGAGCAUGUGGUUUAAUUCGACGCAACGCGAAGAACCUUACCUGGGCUUGACAUCCCGAGAAGUUUUUCGAAAGAAAAAUGUGCCCUUCGGGGAGCUUGGAGACAGGUGCUGCAUGGCUGUCGUCAGCUCGUGUCGUGAGAUGUUGGGUUAAGUCCCGCAACGAGCGCAACCCUCAUCUUUAGUUACCAUCAUUCAGUUGGGGACCCUAAAGAUACUGCCCCGGUCAACGGGGAGGAAGGUGGGGAUGACGUCAAGUCCUCAUGGCCCUUAUGUCCAGGGCUACACACGCGCUACAAUGGGCUGUACAAAGGGUCGCAAACCCGCGAGGGUGAGCUAAUCCCAUAAAGCAGCUCCAAGUUCGGAUUGGAGUCUGCAACUCGACUCCAUGAAGCUGGAAUCGCUAGUAAUCGUGGAUCAGCAUGCCACGGUGAAUACGUUCCCGGGCCUUGUACACACCGCCCGUCACACCAUGAGAGUUGAUUGUACCGGAAGUCGUUGGGCCAACCCAUUCGGGAGGCAGGCGCCGAUGGUAUGGUUGAUGAUUGGGGUGAAGUCGUAACAAGGUA